UACGUGCUAGGAGACAACCGUGAGAGUGAGGUAGGCUGUUAGUCUCACCUUGAAGGUCUAUCAACAACUGCCAGUUGGAAAUAAAUGCAUACAAUGCACAUAUACCUUAAGGUCAGUAUCCUGUCUAGCAUGCCAGAAGUUUGAGAAGGCAAAGACUGGCACCGGAGUUGAAGCCCAUCAAAGUUGUUUCAACAUGGCACAUGAUCGGGGUGGACCUCAUCGGACCCUUCACGAAAUCCAGGAAUGGCAUCAGCUGGUGUCUGACGGUGACCGAUCACUUUACCAAGUCAGUGGAGGCGAUACCCAUUAAGGACGAGACUAGCGAGGCCACCUCCAAGGCGAUGGUGGACACCCACAGUUCUCCUGAGGUCAUGACUUUGGUCUCCUGACUGAGGUCAUGAACGGUGGAACAAGGUUUGGGAAAUGGACCAACCAGACCCUCAAGACUGCCAUGGGCAAGCCCCUUGAUACCAGGAAGGGUGGGAGAACAACCUGAAGGUAAUUCUCUUUGCACACAACAGCAGACGGGAGCCGCAGCUGUUGACUGAGGUAAACAAUGCAAUUGUAUAUACAAUUAUUGCAUAUACUGUAGUAUUUCAAAUUUGUGGUUGACUUAGUGUUGUUGUUUGUCUAUUGCUAUUUUUGUAUAACGAUCUUUCAGACCACUGAAACCCCACCUGAAGUGGGGGAAGUUGUCAAACCAGAUCAGAACGCCUUCGAGGACCACCUUCAGGCACGGACUGAGAAGGAAGUGGAGGUUUUUGACCAGCUAGAGGUUCUGCCCAACACCCAGACGUGGACCCACCUGAUGUCCCCCAUUACCAACCAUCCUCCAACUUUUCUUUACAUCAUCUACACUGUUGUUGUCAUUAUCCGCUAAGAAAGUUUCCUUGCUCUAUCAUACUGGACACAUAAUAUGUGAGAUACACAGAUGAACUAAAAACACUAGCACUGUAAACACACAGAACAAAGAGAGCAGCAGUGCCUGGACUUUGCCGUCUCCCUCUUCAAGUCCCCCUUCUGAGACUGGCUGCCUGUUGAGAACAAGUCACAGACAGAAUUCCACACACCAGAAUUCAGUAUUUUAGUCUAUGAUUGCCAUAUAAGUGUACAGAAAAUCUGUGAAAAUAAAUGAAUGACACAACUGUACCAAAAACUAUCAAAGUUUGUAUUCAAAUCUUAAAUAUUGCCAGGUUGGU